UAGAUUGGGGGAACGUGCCGGCCAAUCUAAAUAACGGUAAUUGAUGCAUUAUCUUGCAUGAAAAUUAAAUUCUCGUUAUGGUAUUCUGUCCAAAGGGGUAUUAAAUAAUUUUGUAACAUAUCUGUGUAAUUACUGCUAUUCAUUUUGUGAGAAGUAAAAGCUAUUGAGCUUUACAUGAUGCCAAUACGAAUUAAAGCCAUCAGGCCCAUCUAGAUUGAAUUUCUUUUCAUCACUAAAUACAACCUAAAAGAAUAAAUUGUCUUUAUAAAAUAUUCCAUUUGUAGAAAAAAAAAGAAAUAAACGAAACACUUUUACUAACAUUUUCCCAAUUCAUGCUCAUGUUUGCUUUGGCGAAUGAAAGUUUGGCUGAUUUAUCCGCAUUCUUUAAUCUUGGCGCCAACAUCAUUUUCGACCGUACAAUGUGUGGAGAUGAUACAAUGGUUCUAUAAAUAGUAGUUUUUGAAACAUUCAAAUUAAUUUCAUCUCGAAUUUGAACUAAAGACUUUGCGGAAUUAGAAGUUUUCCGAAAAAUUGUACGUUUAUCUCGAGGAGAUAGUUUUGAAGGGCGACCCGGACGCUUCUUUUCUCCACGAUUACAUCUUUUAGUUACAUAAUCUGCAACUGCACUUUUUGAUCGUGAUAUUUUUUUUGCAAUAUAGCCGUAACCUCUGCCUUCAAUGCGAAAAGCAUCGAUCUUGGCCUUUUCUGUUUCUGACAACUCUUUUCCACGAGGCAUUUCACUUUUUAACCUUUGUAAAUGAAUUUUGGGCGAACUUGUAGAAAAGCUACUCCCCCUCCGAUUUCGUUCAUUUUGAAAUAUGUUGUAAAAGUCGAUAUUUUAAGCAACUUUUUUCCUCUAAGCUAUAUGUCGGACUCAAUUAGUUUACGAGAUAUUCGCGAAAGAAUAUUGUUACUACUACAGCGAAUUCUGCCUAUACGUAUGCCGUCGCCAUGUGUGGGCCGGCUCUCUUGCCUACCGUUGCUAUAGGCAACAACGUGUGGUCCGGUUGCUAUUCAUACAACGGGUGAGUUUAGAAAUCAAAUUAUAACAUUUGCUCGCGUGGAAUAUUGAUGUGGUCUCACCUAACCUAACCUAGACGUAUAAGUAACUGAAAAAUAAAAUACCACCAACAUUAGUUUUAACCAAUGUGCACCACGAGGAGGUUGUUGGAUGGAUUUUGCACAUCAAGUGUAUGUGUACAUGUAGUUGUGUAUACCGGGUGAUUCACGAGAAACAGAACACCUAAUUAUCUCCGUUUGGUUUAAAGAUAGAAGAAAAUGUAGGAGAAAAAAGUUGUACUGUUUAAGGAGACAAAUAUGGGGAUAUAAACAGAAUUUCCGAUUGUUAUUGUUUUCAAGGUCUUUUGAAGGUCAUCGAUUAGAUUGCAUCAUAUAUUUUUAACAUCAUAGGGUUGUAGCUAUGUCAAGACGAGUACAACGAUAUGGUACACUACGACCUUCAAAUGACCCUGAACUCAAGAAUAGGUUCUAUUUCGCCUGAUCAACGAUUCCAAGUCACUGGAUAGGACAUAAUGGACACAUACUAUGGCCAGCUCGUUCACCCGAUUUAAUUCGCCUUGAUUUUUUUUAAUGGGGAACAUUGAAAGAUGAUGUGUAUCGUGAUCAGUCAAGUACACCAGAGAACAUGCAAGAAAGAAUAAUUAGAUCUUGUAGAUCAAUUUCAACAGAAACGAUUGAAGGGGCAAUUAAUUGCCUUGCAGGACGUUUAAAUGCUUGCAUCAUUGCUCAAGGUCAUCAUUUUGAACAUUUAAUUUAAUUUAAAUAAAUUAAUUGCAAAGUUUGAAGUUAUCAUUGCUUUAUCAUAAAUUUCUUAUUUCAAGGUCAUUUGAAGGUCAUAGUGUACCACAUCGUUGUACUCGUCUUGACAUCAGCUACAACUCUAUGAUGUUAAAAAUAUAUGGUGCAGUCUAAAAAUUAUCGAUAACCUUCAAAAGACCUUAAAAACGAUAACAAUCGGAAAUUUUUUUUAUUUCCCCAUAUUUGCCUCCUUAAACAGUACAACUUUUUUCUCUAACAUUUUCUUCUAUUUUUAAACCGAACGGAGAUAAUUAGGUGUUCUGUUUCUCGUGAAUCACACGUAUGUGUGGGUAUGUGUGCAUGGAUGAAAUAUAAUGAUUUCUGUUAUUUGCAUGUCCAGAUUAGGUUAGGUUAGGUCACAUUAAUAUUCCGGCCACCUUUAGGCGGCCGGCCACACAAGUCCAAUGUCAAAAUUAUUGAUAUUAGUUAAAUGUAAUUUUAAGCUCACCAUGUGGUGAGUUCACUGGCACCCGGGUAGCCAGGCCAUUGGUCGUCCACACAUUUAGUAUUUUUAUAUCGUUGUACCCACUUGUUAACGAACUCCCGUGAUUUAUGCAGGUAUUUAGCUGUACUUCGUACACUCAUUUUUGGUCCUUUCGGAUGCAAACAGAGGAAGACCGCUUCAAACCGUUUUGCAUACGCUGCAUUCAUAUUAAAAACGUCUCUGUUUCUCGGUCGCCACUUUACUACGCAUCAACAUUCGGAGAUAUCGCGUCCACGCUCUUGUGUUACAGACUGUACGUAUUGAAAUUUAGACAGAUCUGCGGUAAUAAAAAUAUUUAGUGCUUUCUCUAUCGAAAACAUUCACUGGUUGAAUAAACAUUUUCUGUCUUUUGUAAAUAUACUUUGAAUAUGUUUAUUGAAUUUAUCAUUUUGCAGAUUUUGAAGCAGACGCGAUUUAUAAUGCAUGCCAUGCUUACGAAAGCUCAUUUUUGUUGCAUUUAAAGCUCUUGUAACGUAUAAUUAUCAACUAGAGAUUUGGCUCUUCGUAUUUUUUCUCUACUGUUGCACUCAGAAAUAUGUUUGUUGCCUCUAUAUACUUUUACGGUUGAAGACCUAUUUCUUUUAGUAUUUAAUGUGCUGGUAGAUGGCAUAACUGCUAAUAUUACAGACGGAUAAGUAAAAUGUCGCUGCAACCAGUCCUCGUUACGUUUCAAAAAUUUCGAUUCAAUGUACCGAGAUUGUACCCAUCUCUGUUUUAGUUUAAAAACAAACCUUUUUAAACUCGAUUUUAGUAAAUCAGAUAUAUCGGGCGAAAUAUCAAUUUUUUUACAUAUUAAAUCAUGCAAAAAUAAAUAGUCACUCAUGUCUUUCGAUGCAUUUUUAAGAGCGAAGAAUAAAUCUUUAUUUUUGCGAAGAGUUUCCAUUAUUGCUGAAUAAUAAAAAAAGAAAGUUGAAAUGCAAAAAUUUUCAAACGGGACCACUGUGUGCCGUGGAAGUAUACGUGCAGGCGAAAUUCAAUGCAAUAGUACUAAUAGUUUUUCGCGAAUAUCUCGCAAACUAAUUAAUUUCGACAUAUAGCUUAGAGGAAAAAAGUUGCUUAAAAUGUCGACUUUU